rnacentral:rRNA from 1 species
GAUGAACGCUGGCGGCGUGCCUAAUACAUGCAAGUCGAGCGAACGGACGAGAAGCUUGCUUCUCUGAAGUUAGCGGCGGACGGGUGAGUAACACGUGGAUAACCUACCUAUAAGACUGGGAUAACUUCGGGAAACCGGAGCUAAUACCGGAUAAUAUUUUGAACCGCAUGGUUCAAAAGUGAAAGACGGUCUUGCUGUCACUUAUAGAUGGAUCCGCGCUGCAUUAGCUAGUUGGUAAGGUAACGGCUUACCAAGGCAACGAUGCAUAGCCGACCUGAGAGGGUGAUCGGCCACACUGGAAUCGAGACACCGUCCAGACUCCUACGGGAGGCAGCAGUAGGGAAUCUUCCGCAAUGGGCGAAAGCCUGACGGAGCAACGCCGCGUGAGUGAUGAAGGUCUUCGGAUCGUAAAACUCUGUUAUUAGUGAAGAACAUAUGUGUAAGUAACUGUGCACAUCUUGACGGUACCUAAUCAGAAAGCCACGGCUAACUACGUG